rnacentral:tRNA from 1 species
GCGAGCAUAGCUCAGUUGGUUAGAGCGCCUGACUGUGGAUCAGGAGGUCGCGGGUUCAAACCCCGCUGCUCGCC